rnacentral:rRNA from 1 species
AUGACGUCAAAUCAUCAUGCCCCUUAUGUCCAGGGCUUCACACAUGCUACAAUGGCCGGUACAAAGGGCUGCGAUGCCGCAAGGUUAAGCGAAUCCUUUUAAAGCCGGUCUCAGUUCGGAUUGGGGUCUGCAACUCGACCCCAUGAAGUCGGAGUCGCUAGUAAUCGCAGAUCAGCAACGCUGCGGUGAAUACGUUCCCGGGCCUUGUACACACCGCCCGUCACGUCAUGAAAGUCGGUAACACCCGAAGCCAGUGGCCUAACCCUUGGGAGGGAGCUGUCGAAGGUGGGAUCGGCGAUUGGGACGAAGUCGUAACAAGGUAGCCGUACCGGAAGGUGCGCUGGAUC